UCUUUUAUUGUUAAUUGAAAAAGAAUAACUUUUGUGCUUUGCUAGUUCACAUACAUUACAAUGAAUAACUUCAACAAAUAAUCCUUAGAAAUAUAAAUAUGUUCAAGAAUACUAAAUCAUAGGCGAUAAAAUGAAAAUGUUGAAGCCAAAUUUUGUAUUUAUAAAAUUUAAAUGACUUGGAAAGAAAUGGGAAGGCGAAGAACACGCAACACUAGCUUUUUCAACUGAUCUUCAGGAUAAUCCCUCUCUCUAGCAAGACCAAUUAUCCUUUCGUUCCAUGUUUCUGGAACACACAAUGAUAAGGAUAACAAAUUAAAUGACAAUUAUAAUCUUUGGUUAGUUUCUGCAUCGACACAAAUUGGUAUAUAAUUUUGGAACAUGAAGAACAAAUAAGUGUAAGAGUUAUUUAUAAAAAUAUCUCCUUGACGUGUACAUGCUACAAUUAUUUAUUUAUUACUAGGACACAAGUAUAUGAGAGAAAUAUUUGUGAGGAGCAUGUCAUAGAUCGAUAACCCAGUUACUGGAAGAGACAUUAAGGUCCCGUUUGGUAUCCAUUUUUUUCAAAAUGUAUUUUUCUUUCUUCUUUUCAACUAAACAUUCUUUAUUAAAAUAAUAUUACACGUAAAUCAAAAACUUUUUUUCAUUUUUCAACAACACAUUUUCAUCAAUUUACCAUUCUAAAAUGCAUUUUUACAUGAAAAUGAAUCUCAAACACUCUCUAAGAGUGGAAGAUGCCAAAGCGCAGGUACCUGUGUUAGAGGGCUUGUUUAAUGUACUUCUCAAUUUCUGUGUUUUCUUCCAUAUUUAACUGCUUGUGUCCUCCUUGAUUAGAUUAAUUAUGAGUUAAAUUUUGAAGUCCGUAUUGAUGUCCUAACUUCUUGCAAUAAGUGUACCAGUGUCUUUGUUCAAUGAUCUCAUCAGAUCUCUGUCUACUAUUUUCACCAUUGUGAUGCUACAUACUAGAAUUCUUCAUGUUUAUGUUUAUUGACACCAAAGCCUAACUCUCCAAUAUGGGAAUAUUAGGCAUAACUCUUAUUCCUUCUUCAGCAAGGAUUAAUGCAUAGCCUCAGUUAAUGAUGGUAGUGUCCAUGAGAUUGAAUAAGAUUAUGGAGAUCGUUGAAGAUUACGACUAUAUUAUGAAAUUAAAUGUCAAAAAACUUCGCAAAAGAUGGGUAGAUUAGAGUUGAACAUAGUAAAAUAAGAAAUUGAAAGAUUUCGUUGAAAUUGUUCGUUUGGAAAUUUCCUGAAAAGCUAAUUAUAGGUUCUUCUCCGGCCCUUUCCUAAUCGGGGCUAAAAUCCUGAAAAUGAAAAAUGCCAAGCUAAUUUGAGAAAAAGUUGAAGGAAAGGGAUGAGGCGAAUCUAGCUUUCUGACGAGCUAAAGGUUCUCUAUUGAUUUGAACACUACACCUUUGGGAUAGGGAUAGAGGAAAAGGAAUGUCUUAUCAGUAAAAUUUUCAUUUAUCCGCAAUCUAGGCAUAGGUAGCAAUGGGGGUGGUCUACAGGGUUUAUAACUACUCCUCUUACUAUAGAAUGCUUACCUAGCCAUAGUCCCAUAUUUAGUAAUUUUGAUGUUUUUAGUUGUUGGGCUGAUUAAAAAGAGGAAAUUAGACUUUUGGAUACGUGGGCUUCUUUAAGAUUAGGUAUUGAUUGGCCUUGGAUUUUUUCCCCUUUCUAUGGUGUUUCGCGAGUACAAUGGCAGAACAAUGGUGACCAUGAGAAUGCAUAGGAAAGAGAGAGACAUGGGAGUGUAGAUCAUUGAGUUUUGGAUGCUCGAGUGAUGAGCAAUAAUUUUGGAUUCUCAGAGGAAGAUCAUCUUUGAUUUUUUUUUUCGUAUUCCCUGUUCUGUGCGAUUUCUUUAGCAUUGUGGCGAGUAAUAUAUUGCUGAAUUUUGGUUGGUGCAUUGGCCGUUAGAACUUUUGUUGGAACAUGUAUUAUAUGUUCGAUUGAGUUCUCCGACUGAUAGAGCACAUUGUGUAUUGGUACACUUCGUGAAUUUCUUUUGAAAAUUCUUCUUAGGGAGUGAGCUCUCUAGAGUGGCUUCAAAGUGUUCUUGGAAUGAUUUUGAAGUAGUUUUUGACUGUUUGUGCUCUAUUUGUUCUUGAUUUUAUUGUCGUCACUAUUAUUCAUAUAUAGCCGCUGUGAUUUGGGUCUCUUCUUCAUGUACACGAGCAUUGUUACUACUGUAAGUUUAUGAUUUCAAAUUAAUACUUUUACCAUCAUCAAUAUGAGAGGAUGUCAAUGAAAUUGAAUAAAAUUAUGAAGAUCGUCGAAGAUUACGAUUAUAAUUGAACCACAUUUAGAUAAAUUACUUUUACCAUAUUUAAUUUGAUUUUUAUUCUAUAUAGGAACCUUUCACAUUGAGGGACAUUGAGUUUUAUUGAGUAUAUUCAACAUAUAAGCCAUCAUUUCCAAGUAUUUGUCUUUACUGAAUGAAACUUAAAAAUUGAUCUGGUAAAAAAAUCAUAAUUUCGAACUUUCUCAAUGAACCUCUUAGGAGCAUCAUCUUAACCUUGAUGAUUGAUAAUUAUCCAUCUCCUGCCAUAAACUUUUUAAAAGGUUUGAAUAUUCGGUGAUCGAUUAAUCUCCCAGGAUUCAAGUCAAAUCGACCCUGUACGUAGUCUAUGUCUGGGGAGCAUACUUGACAGGAGAUAGACACAGGCGAUAGAGAGGUCCCCCACUUCGAUUCUCACCCUAUUAGCAUCUUCGAUCCGAGAUCCCUUGAAGCCCGCCUGCCAAAGGGCUAAGUGGAGUGAUUCCUCUUGUAGAGGAUUGUAGCUUGGUGACAAUAACCUUGAUUUUGAUUGCAUAGAUUUGUACAGCGUUACGUCUCAAAUAUAGAUUCUAUUUUUAUAUAGAAUCAAAAUCACAGCUAAAAUAAUAACUAUUAAUUACAAUAUUAAUUAAUUGUAACAUAUUAAAUAUGGUAACUUCCCUUAUAUUCAAGCUUUCCUAAUAUUCUAUUGACAUUCCCCUCAAAUUUAUACUGGGAAAGCAUCAAUUUGCAAUCAUGAUGUGGCGACGAUGACAAUGCUCGUGCCCACGAAGAAGAAACCCAAAUCACAACCAUCUAUGAAAAAACAUUCCAAAAACACUCCAUAGCCACUCUAGAGAGCUCACACCAUAAGAAGAAUUUUCAAAAGAAAUUCACAACAUGUGCCAACCAUACAAUGAAGCCUAGUAGUCGGAAAACUCAGCAGAGUACAUAAUACCUGUUCCAACAAAAACUUUAAUAGCCAAUGCACUGGUCAAAAAUUCAAUAAUUUAUCGUUGGCUAAGAUGUUGCAAUUGGAAAAAAUCCUACCGACUAGCCUACACAAAAUACUCAACGAUGAUCCUCGUUUGAGAAUCCAAAAUCACCCAAGGUUGAUCCUUUUCUAAGAAUCCAACACUCUAGCUCAUCAUACGAAAGUCAUAAGCACAACAACAAACAUUUUCACAACUACCAAGAAAACUGGAUGAAAGGAGUUCCUCAUGCCGUAAGAAAACCCUACUAAGAGAAUAGGAGAAAAUUCUAAGGAACUGGCUUUGAUAAUAUGUCAAAUAUCCUCAAUGAUACUCAAUAAAAUUCGAUGUGGUUCUCACAUUGUAGAAUCAAACUCUCAACUAAAUAUGUCAGCUAUCAAUUAUGAUAUUCAUUAAUGAUAACUUUCCUUAUAUUCGAGCUUUUCUUAUAUUUUACCGACAUCAUGGACCUUGGUGUAAGUCUUAUGACAACCUCCCCUACAUAUUUAGCCUUUGUUCAAAAACAUGCACGUGCCACGAAUUUCUGGCACUAUAUAGAUCCACAAUCAGGAUAUCACCAUUGAGUCGUGUUCAUCCAUAAAAUUGAAUUUUUGAUUCCCUAUUUUAUGCUCAAUACCUAAUCAACAAAAUAAGGAAACUUACCAAAAAAUAGAAGAUAUAGAUCAAAUAAAAAACAAUUCCAAAAAAUCAGGGAUUGAAAUAAAUCCUAAAGGUAAGCAAUUAUUGAGUUGUUUGUCAAAAGAAUUAGAAAUAAAAGAUUUGGGAAUUUUUGGAAAUUGAAGUGGCCUGGUCAAACAGUAUGAUAGUUAUAUCUCGGUGAAAAUACGUAUUGGACUUAAAGAGACAAAUGAUUGUGUGCAAACUACCUAUCGUAUCGAACCUAAUAAUAAACUUUGGUCCAUUCUAGAGGGAGAUCCAGUAGAAGGAAAGUAUUAAAGGCUGGUAGGAAAACUCGUCUACUUAUCUCACACAUGGCAUGACAUGACAUGGUCUAUGCCGUGAGUAUUUCAAGUCAAUUUAUGCCCUCACCAUUAUAGUAUCAUGUGCAUGCAAUCUAGAAAUCUUGAGGUAAACUUAUGUUUUCUAAGAAUGACCAUGUCAUUGGGUGGGAUCUACACUAGAUAGUUCAACCAAGGUUAUCCCACCUUUGUUGGAGGUCAUUUGGCUACUUGGAGAAGAAAUAACAAAUCUAUUGUGGCAAGGUCGAGUAUAAAGGCUAAAUUACAAGUAAUAACUUAAUGAAUAUAUGAAAUAUAGGGAUUAGAAUUCUUUUCAAAGAACUUAAGUUGGAAGUCAUAGAACCCAUGAAGAUUUAUUUUGAUAACAAGUCGAUAAUUAGCAUUGUCCAUAAUCUAGUGCAACACGAUUGCAUCAAACAUGUUAAAGUAGAUUGACUUUUCAUCAAACAAAAAAUUAAAAGUGGACAGAUCUUGAAAUUCUUUGUUGUAUAUCUACGGCAACAUUUGAUUCCUUGAUUAGCAAGCUCGUACUAACUGGAAUAAAAGAAUUAGUAGAUUUGUUCCGACCAAAAUGGGAAUGGGCUAGGGUUAUGAACUUAUAAUCUAAUGAUCGAAUCGAUUCCAUGAUUAUAGUUCAUACUACACCAGACCGAAAUUGGGAUAUACAUUCUCAAAAGGUUAUUCUAGCAUAUCUAAAUAAAUACUAUAUUUACAUAUGAAUCCCUAUAUUGAUCCAUUCCACUUAGGAUUAGGAAUAAGCAUAAUCGGACCUGCUUUUCCUACUUUUCUUUGCUUUCGUAAUCCACUAGUUUAUGCACUCUCCAUGAAGCUCAUUGAGCGAUUGAAUAUUAAAAGGACAUUCCUGAAAUUGGUGGGGGAGCAAACGAAAGGUCAACUAGAAGAUAUUGAAAAUAUGUCGACGGAUAGUAAUUAACUUCCAGUAAGAAACAAUUAGUUGUGGCUAAUGAUACUACUUGAAGGUGCUACCAUGAAACUAGAAUAAUGCUAUUUGUACAUAAGCAGUUACAUAAUUGUUUGUAUACAAAUGAGAUGUCAAAAAGAGGGGAGAACUUAAAAAAAAAAAGGAAUUCUGACCCAAUUAUAUCUUACAUCACGUGUAUGUAAACUAUCAUGUAAAUCUAUUAUGAACAUAUAGCACAACCAAUAAAUCAUACCAUGGAAAUUAGGCAGCCCAUGCACAACUUAGUAAAAUGCAAUCAAGUUGGUUGCCUCAUUUUGGAUAAAUUAGAAAAAGAUGAUUUGUAUGUACCUUCUCUGCAAGAAUUAGCUGAUGUUCUAACCUAAAGAGAAUGUAGAAAUGCUUUGACACUAUAAAUAAGGUGGGAGAGUGGAGAACUCUUGAAGAUUUGAUCGAACAAAUUUCUUUUAGCUAGGCUUUGUUCUGGUUUUUAAUUAUUUUCUAUUUUACCAUUUAAUGGCUAGUUUCUUUGUUUUUUAGGUCUCCUUGUAUUAAUCUGCUAAUAAACAUUUUUGUACAAUACUUGUGUAGAAUGGCGGCAAAAUUAGAAUAUCUCCAUUAUUGCGUUCAGUAAAUUCCAUAGAUCUUGAGUACCCAACAAGCACUAGAAUGGAGAGGAGUCGAAAAGGAGAUGAGAGGAAAGAUAACGAGGGAAGGGGCAAAAAGAGUCAACAGAAUGAUAGGAAAAUUAGGAAAUUUGUAUUGUAUUCAAUAAUCUGAGUUCUGUUUCAAACAAAGCAUACCUCUCCUAACAUAGCGUCCUAACCUAAUCUAACUUAGAAAACUCCUAAAUAGAGUCAAAAUGUCAAAUGGAUGAAUUUAAAAUAAAACGAACACCUAAAUUUAGCUGUUUCUCUAGGACACUUAUAAUUCUGCAUCAUUUGUAAUCGACUAAAAAGAAUGUGACUUGGAUUAGUUAAACUCUAAAUACUCAUCCAAAACCUCCAAUACACCCAGGAAACCUUAUUUUCAGUAAUUCAAGUAAGAUCCAUAGAAUGCCAGUCUUCUAUAAUAACUACGUUUUUGGAUGCAACAACAUAAUCUGGAGCACAUAAUCAAUGAUACUGAUGGGUGGAAAAGAAGCAGCAAGGUCUCGUGGCGGUGGACAAGCAUCCUAACCUGGAAAUUGAAUAUGGCAACGUUGGAGGCUUAAACGUGCCUUGAUAAGAAUACAAGUCUGUCAAAUUGAAAUCUUUAUUAAUACUAUAGUACACUGACUAAUCAUGUACAUAUGCAUCAAUUCUAAAGUGCUUGAACAACGCAAAAAGGACGAAAGAGAGACAUAAAAGCUUUUUUGCAGCUUGUUUUGGGAGACACUCGGAAUGUGAACCAUGACAUAAUUAACAAUAUUAAAUUCAUUAUGCCUAUGACUGAAAUCAGGAGCAAAGUUUAGAGUUUUUGUUAAUUAAAACGACUGUGUCAUGUUUUAAAUCAUGCAUAUGAUCGCAAAGCUUAUGUAGCAGUUGGACUCAAAUCAACAGGAAAUGGGACAAUAUCAAGGGAUGGUGAGGUUAGAUACCAUGGACAAUCUCUAAAGUUCUAGCUGAUGGACCUAUGGAAAAAUUAUGGCAUACUUAACGAUAGGCAACACAAGAUUCCAAUUACCUCGUGUAUCCCUAAUUGAUGUAGUAUAAAAGUCACAUGCUCCACAAUAAAGAGAACAAAGAAAAUUGAAGAAGAGGGGGAAAAGAGAAAAAUGGAAAAGGGGAGGAGCCAAGAGAAAUUGAGAGAAUACGAACUUGUGCUAAAAACAUAGCAUACCCUUCUUUACAGAGGGUCCCAACUAAAAAAUAAAAAAAUCCCGGAAGUACAGCAAUUUAAAAUAAAAAUAAAAAUGACAUCUAAAUAAAUCCAACUUCAACAUGCUUAAAAUUUGCAUAAUUCCAGUGGUUAAGCUUACGUUCUUACCAACAACCAAAGAACUAUGAAAUGAGCUUAUGACACCUACUCUAAGGAAUUCGGCUCAAGUCUGUACUGAAAAGUAAUAUUCAAAGUGCCAACCAAAAUAAUCAAUGUGCAAGUAUAACAAUACCUUGAAGAGUUUUUGCGAAAAUUGAGACGUUAUAUGUAGGCACGUGUUGGAAAAAUUCGUGAAAUCCAAGUAUUAUUUUGUUUGGACUUCAAAAUUUCAUUUGAUAGUCUAAGAGGCAUUAAUUCUUAGCUAGGCUAGAACAUAAGAUAGAUGCAUUAAUUCUUAGGUAGACUAGAAUAUAAGAUGGAUAAAAUAGAUCUCCUAUUCCAAGUUGGUGCAUAGAUAUUUCACAUGUCAAACUUGGAUAAUGAUGAAAAUACAAUGCAAUAACAAUUGAAUUAUCCUACAAUCCCAUAAACAAAUACUUAUAGGACGUAUAACAAAAGCCAGCACCAAAAGAUUUAAUGCAAGAAACCCACACAUAAACUCAUGCAUAAGAGGGUGAAAAAUCUCCAAACGCAUUAGAGGCCACCACGAGUAGGCCUCUCCAUGGAGUAGAUGUUUACGCACGUAGCAGAAUCAUGGAGUAGAUGUUGUUUACGCACGUAGCAGAAUUUAUAGAGGUGUCAAGGAUGAGUAGGGAACAACGUAAGAGUGAUAUGAUACCAGAAAGGCUGGGUCAACCAAGGUGAAGGAUUGCUUAGCAUCAAGAAGCAUCGUUAGACAGUAAGUAAAAGGCUUGCACAAUACCUUAGGGAAUACCACAUGAUUGGGUUGACCAAGUGAAAUAGUUGCAUAAUGGAGAAUGGUCAUUGAAGGGUCACAACUCAAGUAAUCCCGAGUUAUAGAAGAGGGUUGCGACUGGUUUGCACCCUAAAAGGCUCCCAAGAGAAGAGGUUUAGCCAAGGUUAGACUAAAGGCAAAAAUUGAAUCUCUCGCUAGAGUAACAACCAAAUACCCCACCGACUAAACUAACAAUCAAUAACCAAAUACCCACUAAACAAACAACCAAAUACCACCAACUUAAAGAAUACCACACACAAGGGUAAAUUAGGAAACAAGCCAACUAAAAUCUCUCUCUUCAACCAAACAAUCUCUUCAACCUGGACAAAUAUCUCAACCACCUGCACAGUGACAAUCCAAUUGUAGUAGAUAUUGUACGCAUGAAACUACAGCCUUAUGUUUACGAAGUACACAUGCUAGGAAACUUGCACACCCAAUAGCUUCGGUCACCUAGGCUUCACAAACAUAUAUAAGGCCUCGAUCGAUGGGAAGAAACAAUGAUUUAUGAACUGAAGCCUCUUGUGCACUUAGUGUAGGGUUUGCUUGAGUCAUGCAUACCUAAUGUUGAUGAGGUAUUGACAAGUAGAAGCAUAGUUAGUUUGGCCCUAUUGCUUUUGGAGAUGAUCAUUGUUAAGGUUAGGGUUUUGGUAGGUGUCAUGUGUUAUGUUUUGGGUGGGGUUUCUCUAGAAGGGAAUUUUUCUUUGACUUUGAUACCAAUCAGAAGUUUAGGCUGAAAUAAUUCAUACAAUCAAUCUUAUAUAUACACUAGUGCAAUCCUAUCUAUAAAAGGAAAAUCAAUUCUACUACUAUAGUCCUUGUUAGACUAAAAUAUAAGAUAGAUACAUUAAUUCUAGCUAGGCUUGAUAUAAGGUAAGAUAGAAUACAAGUUAAAAUAGAUCCCUUAAUCUAACUGGUCUCAUGUAUUUUCUUUUUGGUCUUCUUUUACUUAAAGUGCUAUCAUCUCAGAGAAGAAAAUCUUUAGAGUCUCUGAAAAAGGUGCCUAGCAUUUUAAUAGCAACAAAUCAAUAUUGCUUUCUUUAAGAAAACUUAUAUUUUCUCUUUCUACAAAAAUUUCUCUUCAGUCAAAUAUUUAAUUUUCUUCAACCCUUACCUUCUGUUUGAUCUAAUAGUUAUUUAUAGGAUAUCUUCUAUUCGAGAUCUCUCAAUUUUCAGCUCUUAAAAGUUGUACAAGAUAGUUAAGAAUUUAUACGAGAAGGAAAAACAUACAAUCUUGCAACAUCACCAAUAAACUGAUCUGAGCACAAAGAUUUUGAGGAACAUGAAUUGUUCUUCAGUUCCUAACUUUUAAAAGAACCUUGAUAUCCGUAUUGCAAAUAGGAAAGUUGCUACAUCUUGUACAUCCUAUUUUCAAAUAUAUUUCGAAUCAUACUUUCAAAAAAAAAAAUAAUAAUAAUAAAUACACACACACACACACACACACACACACACACAUUGAUGCUCAAACUCUUCGAAAUGGUUGGAGUACCCGUGUUGGACACGACACGACAUGGAUAUGUGUAUGAAAUAUGUCUCCGAUCCUCCAAGUGUUAAAAGGACACUUUGCCCUUUUUUUUGCUUCUUCUUCUUCUUCUUCUUUUUUUUUCCCUUUCUGUUUCUACUCUCUAUAAACCUAGCGCCACCUCCGAGAGAGUGGAGAAAAGUGACAACACUAGAUUUUCCCUUCCUUCCCUUUUCCUUUCCUUUUUUUCCUUCUUUCCCUCUCUGUAUCGGUGGUUUAGUGUUAUGUUUGUAUAAAAUGAAAAUAAAUUCAUAUAAUACUACUUAGUGCUCCCCUAAAUCCAAAUUGCAAUCAAGUCCCUCAUUUUUUUUAUAUAACAUUUAGUAAUUAACUUCUCAUAAUUGAAAACUAAAUUCUAAAAUUCUAUUUUAUUCGUCUUAACCUCUUAUUUAAUACUAUUUCCUUCUUUGUGAACAAUUGGUUUUAGUUAUUCAAAAUAACAUCUUGAGUUAGUAAAAAAAUUGAAAUUUGAAAAACGUACUCACGUAUCUGUGUCCAAAAUUUAGAUUCUUUUUAUCCAUGUCUCUGUAUCCUACAUUUUGAAAAAUAAAAAAUCCGACACUUAGAUACGUACCUGUACCUAAUACUCAAUACUCGAGUCCGAGCACCAUAGUUGAUGUAGGAUAGAUUGAAGGAAUCCAACAAGAAGUAGGCAGGAAGAAGGGGAGAAACCAGGGGAGAAGAAGCAAGAAACGGGGAGGAGAAACAGAGAGAGGGUGGGGGGGAGGGGGNNNNNNNNNNNNNNNNNNNGAGGGGGGGAGAAGGCCGGGCAAGAAGAGGAGAAAACUUAACCAAGCAUUAUUUCAUUCAUUCUCAUCAAUUCAUCGUCCCCAAAUUACAUAACAAACCAAGUAUAAAUAGCAAAGCGCUAAACCUGGCCAAGCCAAAAAUACAAUCCCAAUACAUAAAACAUAAAUAAAAGUCUACAAUAAAACAUAUUUAGGUGAUGUCCUCAUCAACUUCCCCGGGCUGGGAAAAGAACUUGACCAUGUCGAGUUGAUAAAUCAAAAGCUGCAGUUGAUAUGAUGUCCAAAAUGCUCCAAUUUAUGCCACGCGGGACGAUCCUUUUGACGAACCGAAUAUCGAAACUUAAUAAAUAACGGCAAAGCAAACUGCAUAUCAUCCCUAAGAAUAUGAUGUAACCUAGGCCAACGAAAAUCGUAUUGAUUUUGAUAAAGUUCCGAUAAAUCUAGAUCAAGCUGCUGGAGUUUCUUUUUAGGACUCCAUGCACAGUCAAACUCAAGUUGACUCACCCAACGAACAAGCAUUGAAUCUUUUCAUCACUGGCCAACAAAAUAUGUUCAUCUAAAAUAACAUCAAUUUUAUCUUAGUGUGCUAUAACAGGUGGUAUUCGAAUAGGCAUAGCAAAUGAUUCAGUAUGGGAGUUUUCAAGUGGAGAUAGAAAAGGAUCAUCAAAAGUGUUAAAAUAGCCUUUGUAAGCAUGAAAGUCCUUAACAAUUAAAAUAGGGCGGUGGGCAUAAUGGGAUGAAAGAUCAUUGACAUAUGUAUUUGGACCAACAUGUUUUGAAGUUUUAAAAGUACCAGCAUUACAGGCUUGCAAUGUAACAUAAUUCCCAAUAUUGAAUUCAAAAUGUCUUUUAUGCAAAUUAACUUGAAGUUGAUACAAUGCAUUACUUGCUUCAAGUUGUUUAUCGAUCUUAAUAUGCAAGUCAUGCAAAUGUGGUACAACUACCUCAUUUGACGUCAAUUCACUACAAUGUGGGGGCAUGCUAAAGGUGUUCUAGGCUUAUAAUCAUGACUAACUUUAAAGGGAUUCAAACCUAGAGAUCGAUUCACAAAAUUGAGAUGUGCAAUUUCAACAAGUGGGAAGAUCAAAUCCCAAUUCCCAAGAUUUUCCUUGAAUAUGACAUGAUUAUGCAACUCAUCAGCACUUUUGGAUUGAUUAAGGACACUACAUACAACACUUGACUGAGAAGUAUCGGGAAGAAGGGGUAAAACAUCUAGAUUCUUCGAAAGACUCCGGAUACCACCUAAGGAGGCGUCCUCAAUAUCAUCCAAGUCAUCAAAAUCUUCAAGUUUAGGUUCAUAGACUAGAUCUUCUAACGAUUCAUCUAUUACAUCCUUUCGUUCUUCUCUGACUAAGGCACAAUUAGGACAUUUGGAAGAGAUGUAGCUAAAGUCCUUACAGCUGAUGCAUAGCAAGUGAGAAGAAGUCAUUGGAAUUUCAAAAAUUUUACCCUUAUUUUCCAAGAUUGGAGGAACAUUAGAUGGAGGAGGCCCUAGAAGGGGCUUAAUGAGAGGAAGUGGAGCCAAUGAAAUAGAAGAAUGGUUGCCGAUACGCCUUCUAUAUGGAGAAGGGGGCCUUGGACUACCACGACCUUUACACUUAUUUUUCCAAAUGGAAAGAACACUAGACGGGAAAGACUCUAUGAUAGACUUAUGUUGAGGUGGCGCAAAUGACAUGGGUGAAUGAUAGUGAUCGCGCUUUUCAGAUGGAGUACUAAUAGUCAACUCAUAAUCCCGAGCUAAAGAAUAAGCGUGAUCAACAGCAGUGACACCUCGAAGGAAAAGCUCACGCCUAAGAUCAUCUCUCAGACCUUGGCUAAACCUACUCAAAGUCAUGAUCUCAUCCUCAAUGACAUGACAUUUGGUUCGAAAUUCCUCAAAUUGUACAAUAUAUUCGGUCACUAACCGAUUCCCUUGUUUAAGAGCAGUCCAUUGAAUAAAUACUUCAAAAUCUAAGCAACCAUUAUAAGUAGGAGUAUCUAAUUCAAUGCCUCUAAAGGAACUCUCCUUACGACGAGGAAGAGAAUGAGUACCGUGAUGGUCAUAAACUUGUUCUUGCCCACGAACUUGAUCCCUAUCACUACGAUCAUAUUGAAAAUAUUUUCGAUCUCUUCCUCGAUGACGAUAAUGUCUAUUAUGGGGUACUUUCGAAUUAUCAAUGUCGAUCGAAUGAAGGAUUUGCUUAGAAUUGUUCAAAUUAGCAGAGAGAGCCUUCCUCUCUUCAAGAGUAGCAGUGAUCUGGGUUUGGAUAGCAGCUAUUUGACAGGUGAGUGCAUCAAAUUGUAAAGGGUCCAUAUUUAGGUACAGAAACUAAAAGUGACAAGACGACCAGUCGACCACUAAGCAUGCACUGUAUUAGCAGCUAAAUGACAUGCAACUGAGAGAUCAAUAAACAAUAAGUGCAAGCAAUGGAAAAUAACUUGUGCCCCUUUUCUUUGGGAUUAAAUAAAUCCAAAUACGGCAAGCUAAUACUGCUGAUAUAUGUAAAAUAGCAACGCAAGAACCAAAUACUAGUCAAACCUAAUCACAUAAAAUAAGUGAGGUAAAAGUGGAAUUUAACGAAGGUAAUGGGUCCAAUUACGUGAGUUUAGGUAAAAACUGGAAUAAUAGCAGCACACAAAAAUAUUGAUGCAAUUUUAAAAUGAAACAGUAAUAAAACCAAAGAUAAAUAAAAACAAUAACCUUCCUUUCGUCUAUUGAAGUAGUUGUGUCAAAUCAACGGGAUUAAAAAGAAAUACCUAAAAGUAAUAGAAAAUAAAUUUUUUUUAACACUUUUUUUUUUUUAGCUUGCUUACAAAAAUCAACCUAAGUUACAUAAAAACAAUAGGGCAAUAAUUAAGCCCAAAUUAAAACAAAUUUCAAAUCACACAUGCCCAAGCCCAGAAUAUUAACUUUUAAAGUACAGCCCGAUUGAAAAUAUAUGCCCAAUUUCACGGCAAAUCUAGAAUGACUGUUGGCGGUGCUAUAGAGUUGGAAGCUGCUGGUGGAGGUGACUAACGCAGCUCGAGGGGAGUUAACUUUUGGGUCGUCGAUCAAGGAACAGUCGGUGUUUAGUGAAAUUUUUGGGUUACUGUAUUGCUAGUGUUUACUAUUAAUUGUAUGGAAUUGGGUGUCUCGCAGGUUGGGAUUAUAGUUGGUGGUUUACGUUGGUGGAGUUGUCGGAGAUGGACGGUAGUGGACUGUUGGAGAGUGGUGAGUCUUUUGGGUGGUGGCUGUGUGGACGGUUAUUAUGGGUUUAAUGAUUAUGGGCAGUUGCAAUUUUGAUGCAAUGAUUGCUAGCAGCGGCUGAGGUUAGGUUGGGGAUUGUGUAUGUAUGGGCUGUUGCUGUUGACAUGGUGAAGGGGAUUUGGGUUUGGGUAGUUGAUGUUAAUGGGUGGCGUUCGAGAAUUUGAGGGUCGCGAUUUGGGGAAGUUGUCGGCAGUUAUCGUUGCUUCUAUCAGUCAUGGGUUUAGUGUGGUCGGAAUAGUGGGCUGUGUGGUGGGAUUUAUUUUGGUAUAAUAGGUGAAGGUGCUGUAAGUUGCAGGGGUUGUGUGUAUGUGCGUGUACGGUUACUAGGUUUUGUAGCAAGGGAUGAAGUUUGAAGAUGGUGAUACUAGGAUAUGCAGGUUCUGGGAUGCAGAAAAAUGACCGAAUCCAGGUUGAGUUCUGAUACCACUUUGAUGUAAGAUAGAUUGAAGGAAUCCAGCAAGAAGAAGGGGAGAAACCAGGGGAGAAGAAGCAAGAAACGAGGAGGAGAAAAAGAGAGAGAGUUGGAGGAAGAAGGCCAGGGAAGAAGAGGAGAAAACUUAACCAAGCAUCAAACUUAACCAAGCAUCAUUUCAUUCAUCUCAUCAAUUCAUCGUCCGCAAAUUACACAACAAACCAAGUAUAAAUAGCAAAGCAAUAAACCUAAAGAAAAAGGGUUGGGCCAAGCCCAAUACAUAAAACAUAAAUAAAAGUCUACAACAUAACAUAUUUAGGUGAUAUCCUCAUCAAUAGUGUAUAUAUAUAUAUAUAUUCGAAUCAUAUACUGUUCCCUUAAGAACUUUACUGCUUCUUACGAUUUUGUUGCAAGUAACAUGUUGGAAGCUCUUACUCUUCGAAAUUAAAGAGUAGUCGUUUAUGAAGAAAUGUGAGCAUUAAAAAAGAAUUAUAAAUGGGGAAUUGCUGAUCUCGCCGGAGAAGAAAUUGAUAUGAUUAGUGAAACGGAAGGUAUAUGGUUGGGGAGAGUUCAAAUAUAUAAGGGAAGACUUGCGGAAAGGGGUUUAAGCAAAUUUAUGGAGUAAAUUUUAUUUAUUUUUUUGCGUGUGUAGCCAACAUAACUUAAUUCUAGUCCUAUUAUCUUUUGUAGCAAAUAUAAACUAAAUAUAUGUGUAACUAGACGUAAAGAAUGUGUUCGUACAUGGCGAUUUAGAGGAAGUAAAGGUCGGAAAAAAAUAAAAUUAAAUUAAACGGUGAAUGAGAAUUGUAACAACAAACUUUUGGUUUUAAUUUUCUACUUAAUUUGUAUUGAAUUGGUGGUUACAAAGCCUUAAUGCCUAUUGUAACAUACUUUGUGCUAAAUACAAAAUUAACUAAAAAAAUUGAACCCCCACUCCAUUUUUCUUUUUUCGAAUCUGCAGCUGGUAUUCUACGGGUGUACACUGGGUAAACCCUCGGAAUAACGCAAUAGCCUACAAACCACGUCAACCAGGUAAAUUGUACUAGGCAAGCCCGAUGCGACAUGCUCCACCAAAUAAGUGUUGGUAGGGAGAAUCGAACUCGUGACCAAAGGCUUCCACGCUCAUCUACUCCACUAACUCGGCCACCCCAUAAGGGGCAACUCCCCCUUCAUUGCUAUAUAAGGAGAUGUUUUCCUCCUUAUUCCGCACACCAAAAAUUGAGAUUUCUCUACUUUCUCUAAAUUUCUCUAGUCUCUCUUUGUUUCAAGAGUUUUAUUCUUAGUAGCUUAGAUAGUUUUUUUAUUUUAGAACUCCCCCUCCAUUGCUAUAUAAGGAGGUGUUUUCCUCCUUAUUCCGCACACCAAAAAUUGAGAUUUCUGUACUUUCUCUAAAUUUCUCUCGUCUCUCUUUGUUUCAAGAGUUUUAUUCUUAGUAGCUUAGAUAGUUUUUUAUUUUAGCUCGAUGAUAGAAGUGUGAACAUUCUCGUUCGCCUAAAGUGCUAACGAGGUGCUAGUCAACUGCUUUCAACCAUUGUAUCUUAAGAAAUAGUCGCCAUUUGUCAUCUUACACCAUUUACAAAGAGCAGUUGAAACAGUAGCAAGAUCAGGCGUCGAGUUGAGAUCUUGAAGGGCAUAGAGGAAGAUGAAUCAGACUCACGAUGAUGACGAAUUUCAUACACAAGACCAGGUUUAAACCUUUCUACAACUGUCGGGGAUCCAGAAAAGCUAGGCUAAAGGUAAGAUGUAGGUGAUAGUUCAACGUGAGAUGGAAAAAAUAAUGUUGUUCAAAGAAAACCACUCUCCUAGAAAAUAUGGAUACGUUGAGCAUUUGGGUCAUAGCAAACAUAAUCCUUUUGAGAGGUAGCAUGACCAAAAAAAGUACAUUUAACAGAUUGAACAGUAAAUUUAUGUUGCUUAUGCCCAGGAAGAUGGAUAAAACGAAUACAUCCAAAUGUAUGAAAAUCAGAAUAAGAAGGCAAAUGAUAAAACUUAAAGUAAGGGGAAACCUGAUUCAAAGUAGGGAAGGUAAACGAUUUAUAAAUAAACUGCAGUUGAAAGUGCUUCAGACCAAAAUCAAGGAGAGACAAACGAUUCUAGUGAGAGAUUUCUUACCACACCCAGAAGACAAUGGCUUUUUCUCUCAACAACACAAUUGUGUUAUGGCGUCGAAGGACGAGCGAUGAGAGAUGAUGCCUUUGCUUUGAAGAAAGUCUUGAAAUUCAUUGGACAUAUAUUCCCCUCAAGAAUCAUAUCGCACGAUCUUGAUGCUGGCAGAGAAUUAAAUUUCAAGAAGGGCAAGAAAGUGCCUAAAGACUAAAAAUACUCCUGCCUUUGCCAAUAAAAAAUAAAACCUAGUAAAGCGACUAAAAUCGUCAAUGAACGUAACAAAGUACUUAUAACGAGCUUGAGAAAUAAUAGGUGAAAUCUCCCAUACAUUACUAUGAAUAAUAUCAAAAUAUUGUGUGGCAUGAAAUCCAUGAGAAGGAAAUGGUAAAACCUUUGUUUUUCCAAUUUUGCAAGCGGUACAAUCAAAAGAGAGAUCAAGAGAAAAACAAGUUUUACUUUCCAAUAAACCAAAAUUAAAUAAAGUACGAAGUACAUAUGAAUUUGGAUGACCUAGACGUCUAUGCCACAGCUCAUUGCCAAGGCUAAUAGCAUUACAUGCAAAGGAACGUGAAAUAGAACUAGGAAAAACCGGGAAAGGAGAAAUGUGUAAAGGAAAGAGUUGUCCUACUUUAGGCACCUUUGUAAGCAUCUUCCUGGACACUGGAUCCUGCACAACACAACUAGAACGAGAAAAAUGGACAUCACAAUUAUUAUCAGCCAAUUGACCAACAGAGAUUAAAUUCAUAAGAGACUAGAAGAUAUAAAAACAUUAGUUAAGGAAGAAGAAAAAUCGCCAAUAGCACUAAUAGGUAGAGAAUUAUCGUUAGCAGUGUGAAUUCAAAGAUCACCAUCAUACUCUCUAAUGUUGGAAAGAGGAUCAUAUGAUUAGAGGCUCCGAAGUUUUAAAAAAAAAAAAAAAAGCUUAGAAGAAACGGUAUGAAUACUCGAGAGACCAUAUGCAGAAAAAGCGGAAUAGAUUAUCUGUUGUACCAUUUUAGGAGUGACACUGGUUGGGUUUGCUAGGGCAAUCAUAACACUGAUAGGAACAAUUGGCGAGGCAGUGGGCAACGCAGCGGAGCUAUUGGCACCAACGGAGGCAUAAUAUGUAGUGCUAUGCUUCCUUUCAAGUCAAAUGGGACAAAAGGAGAUGUGAUGACCCUGUUUAUUGCAAUAGUUACAAUGUUUCUUGGGACAAUCCAGAGCAAUGUGACCAAAGGCUUUACUGUUAUAACAUUGGAUAGCACGUAUGUCUCGAAACUUAUUCCUUCCUUGUGUUGCAUAAGCGACAGUAAUAGGAGAAUUAACGGUGGCCCCAUAUUCUAUAGUAGCUUGAUUGACGAUACGUUGCUCCUCGCAAAGAAGUUCACUCAAGCAAGCAUCUAAAAAUGGUACCGGAUGACUAUUCAUUAGAUUAGAGCAUGCAACCUCAAAGUCAAGACGUAGCUUCAUCAAGAAUUGGUCUCUCUUGCUUGUUUCAUGCACUAUUUGAACAGCAAAUAAGGCAAUAGCAGGAACAUUAGCAUAAAUAAUGUCUAAAUACUCAACCCAAAGAUUUUGAAAAAUAGAAGAAUAAUCCUCAGAUCGAGAGGCUUCCCUAUGUAAAAUUAGCCAACUUGUAUUUCAAUCCAAGUCAGAUUGUCUUGUUUGUAAACCUUACUAAAGUAAUCUCACAUAUCAGUAGUCAUUUUAUAAGGUCUCAAAUUAAAAACAAGGUGAUGUUCAACUGAACCAAUGAUCCAAGUCAUAACUCAGACAUCCUUGAUUUCCCAUUUGGAUAAAUGCUCCACAUCUUUAGGGGCAAGAUUGCUUCCAUCAAGAUGACCCGGCAACUCUUUUCUUUUAAUAAAUAAUUGAAAUUGAAAUUUCCAAGCUGAAUUAUUUUUGCUAUUAAAACAAGUAGGAAAAAAUUCAAUUUAUUGGAUGACAUGAUUAAUAAUGCAGCUCUCUAAGAGUAAAACAAAGAACCCAGACAAAAUAAAUGCAGCUCUCUAAGAGUAAAACAAAGAACCCAGACAAAAUAAAUAUAAAACCGGCCUAGACUAAAAGAACAUAUUGACCAACAUGCAACCAAGAGAAAGCGUCGACCAAAUUCACAAAAAAUUCAAGAAACUUGAACCAAACUAGCAAAAUAUUGACCAAAGGCAAAAUCGUGCACACCAAAUGGGUGAAUGAUAAAUACCCAACCAAAAUCGCAAAAGGAGUUAAAAACCAAAGUCACCGGAGGCUGGAAUACGCAAAUAUGAGAGGCCGAAUAACAAGAGGAGUUACCGACUAGAGACACCAGAGGAUGGAAUACCUAGAUGAAAAGCCAAAUUCCACUUUUCAAAUUUUUGACGCCCACAAAGCACGAGGAGCGAGCAACAGCCAAUCUGAAAUUACAGUCUGAAGCCUUCAACAACCGAAAAGGAGGAAACUAGGUGAACAAAAACUAAUCAAGUUAGGCGCCAAAGCUCUGAUACGAUGUUAAGAGCCGAAAUCUGCGAGAGAAAAUAGUUUAAUUUUCUGAAAACUCGUUUAUUCUUUUUGCCUCUUUUGUCCAAUAUGUGUGCGUGUGUGUAUACACAGAUUACAAUGAAACUAUAUAUUUUGCAAUUUCUAAGAAUCGGCUAUCAUUAACCGAAAGAUAAAUUCCAUAAUUAUCUAUAGUAACAGAUAUACGGAGGAUUGCAUUAGUGACAUAUAGGUGAGCCCAAUAGAAUGCAACGAAUAAAGAACCAAAUUGAGAAAGAAAGAGAAAGGGAAGGAAAGAGAGGAAGAGAGAGAAGAAAUAAGAGAAUAUAGUAUGAAAUUGGGGAGAGAGUAUAAUUUAUAUAUAAACAAAGUUUGAGUAUUACAAUGAAUAGAUUCUUUAUAUAGAGUCUAAUCAAACUUAAUUUGAGAAGGACAAUAAUCUUAUUCUAGUCAAAUUAGAAAAUUAAAAUAAACUAAUCUAAUCAUAACAAACAUAACUUAUGUCAAAUUCUAUUUUAAAAUUCUAUUUAAAUCUUAUAUUUAUUCUUUUCAUUUUCCAUCACUUCUUUCCAAAUGAGAAAACUCGACUCCUACGAAAUAUACUGCAAGACGAACUUUCUUAUUGAUCAAAUGAUCUAACCAAAGAACUUUUAAUGAAGUAACAAUAGGGAACUCCAAAAAAAUAACAACCCAUGCAACUCAUCCACAAAAAUUAUAAGAAAUCCAAAUGGUGUUUUCCAUACCUUUUUCAUCCCUCUGGGUUAGAGGGAAGUUCAAAACUUAGCUAUGCCCUUCUUAAUUCUAGAAACCCAAAAGCUUGUGAACACAUUCAACCAACCAGAAAGCAUGAGUAACUUGAUGCUAGUGCAUUGAUAGAUUGAUUCACAGAAACAGAUGAGUGCAAUCCUUAUAGCUCGAAUGUAGGAAAAAUUUUGCUGCACCGAAAACAAAAUAUUCAUUUAAAUAUGAUGGUCAAAUAGAUUAUUUUCAUCUAAGCUAUCUAAACAUUUUUUUUCCUUUCAAAAGCUGUGCAAAAGAAACACGUAAUAACGAGGCUUAAAAAUUAUUCAUCAAAAACAAGCAUUAUUUUCAUUAUUUAAAUAAAUUUUUCUUUUUAUCUUAACUUGAAAAAUCAGGAAAAGGUGCAAUAGAGAUCGGAGCUAAAAUAACAUGAUGGUAACUAGUAGGCAACAAUCAAAUGUCAAUAGGAAAAUUAUAUGAUCGAAUAGUGGCCUUGAGAUAAAAUGGCAAUCCGAAGAAUAUCGCGUAGCUGAGGUAACAUUAGAACAAAGUCGGUUGUAAAUUGGCACAUAGGAGUAGGCGAUAACAAUUCGGCACGAAGGUGAGGAUGUGUAGAAUGUCUGGUUUAGGUGGCAACGCUUAAGGCAAUUCCUCAAUGGUAUCAAAUUUAACUAUGUCAAAAACAUGUACGAGGGGAUACAAGACAAUUCUCAAAAACUUCAUUCUUACCAUUAGAAUAUUCAAUAGGCUCAUAAAUAAAAUCCUCAUUUUCUUGAUCAUGAUAAAGACUAACAUAAUCGGACAUUGGAAGUGAUCAGGACUGCAAUGGUAAGCCUAGUGUGCUUGGCAAAGAUGGAAGGAUAUAUCCCAUAGGUUGGCUUUCAGGUAAGCUUCAUCAAGGAUUGGGAUUCGAGAAUGUCGUCAUGCUUUUUUCAGAAUUUAAAUCGUUGAGAAACCCAAACUCUAGGACAUGGAUAUCUUUAUAAAUAUCACACCUAUGUAAUAGUUAUAAGAAUUAAACCAUUAAGAAACUUGAACUCUGAGACGUGGAGAUCUUUAUAAUUAUCAUAACUGUGUAAUAGUUAUUCAAAGUGGGCUAGAUACUAGCUAAUAAUAGAUGUACUUUGCCAAAGUGCAAAAAGAAUAGAACUAGGGGCUUGGAGUUGUUAUAUGAAUCGUAUGUGGUGUUGAUUAUUUGAAAUAGCUAUAAAUUAUCAUGUAGCACACUUAACAAAACUCUAAAACCGAAUCAAAUAAUUUUUGUUUUUAAUUAAACCGAACAAAAGAAAAUGAAAAAUUUGACCAAUUAACAACUAAAAGUAAAUUUUAUUUAUUUAAUUAAUUUUUAAAAAAAAAAAUCGAAAUUGCGAAACACUUGAAAAAAGUAAAGGUAUUAAGAUAGUAAAAAGUCUACAAGAGCAAUUGAUAUGGAGCCAACUGUAGGCAUAAUAAUUAUUCAAGCAUUCAAGAUUCCAUGCGAGAAUCGGAUUACAUCAGUGUGGCUCCUUGAUCGGAAUUAACAACAAAGUACCUAUCAAUAGUUUUUUUUCUUUUUGGAUUUUUUUUUUCUUGUAACUAACAAGAACAAACGUAAAUAACUAAGGAAUGAACAAUUCGGCCUUUUAUUUUUAUAUUUUUAAAAAAAUAAUAAUAAGACGUAACCAACUAUAGCUUUGUUGGGGAACAACUCCGACUUACGUGAUAAAUGAAAAAAAAAAUGUUUUUGUAACAAUAAGUCGCUGUUUGGGCUGCAUUCUGAAAAAAAUGCAUUUUUCUCUCAUCUUUUCAACCAUACAUUCCCAUAAAAUAAUAUUACACGUAAAUUCAAAACUUUUUCUUAUUUUUUAAUCACACAAUUUUUUUAAAAAAUUACUAUUCAAAAAUAAAUUUUUCUCCAAAAUGCAUUUUAGUUGGAGCCCAAACAUGGGCUAAGUAAAAGCUAAAACAAAGUGAGAAACAUCUUUUGUCAACUAAGUUGUUUUUUAUUUUUUAUUUUUUUUUCAAUUGCUGAUUUGGGGGAAUUUUUUAUGGUUUAAGGUGGCUAUGAUUGUAAGUGUAUAAGUUUUAAUUUUGAAAAAGAAAUUUUAGUCAAAGAAAAAUGAGUUGCUCUAAUAACAAAUUGAUGUAGAACAUAAUGAACAAAGAACAAGUUUAGAUAAAAAGAGAAGGAGAAGAGAAGAGAGAUGAAAGAGAAGAGAAUAUAGAAAAAAUUGGGGAAGAAAAGUAUUAAUUUAUUUAAUAAUUAAACUUGAAGUAUGAAAAUGAAUAGACAAGCUUUAUAUAAAGUCUAAGCAAACCUAAUUUGAGAAGGAAAUAACAAUCCAAUUAUAGUUAGACCAGAAAACUAUAAUAAAUUAAUCCGAUCAAAACAAACAUGAUUUGAAAUUAAAUUCUUCAUUAAAAUCCGAUAUUUAUUCUUAUCACCAUUGUCCCUCAGUAGGCAUAAGGCGGAUUCCCAAGCUUGGGUUCUAGUUGAUAUAGGGCUGAUUGUAUUAGUUCCAUGGCAUAGUAGAGAUAUGGUUGCUUAGGUCAAGAAUGUUCCAAUAGGACUUAACUUAUUUUUAUCCAUUUUUCUUUUCUUUUCUCUUAUUUUCUAGUUCAGAGAUAUGGGGAGAGAUUGGGAUAUUUACCACAAAGAAUUGAUGAAGUAUUGGAAAAUGUACUGUCAUUAUUGUAUGUUAGUACUUUCACUAUAAUUUGGAUUAGUUCGUUAUAUGCAACAGUUGUAUACAUACUGCAUUUGUCACUCCAACGGCAAAUUUUUUUAUUUGUGGAUGGAACUUUCAUGUUAAACUUUUGACCUUAGGAUAUAGCCUUCAGUGUACAUUAACAUUGCUAACUAUGAUUUAUAAAAUCAAUGGUUCACUGUCGCUGUUUUACUUGCACUUUUUAAAUUGGUGGUGAAGUGAAUAGUAAUAUUCCCGUGUUUGUGUUUUAGGUAGUUUUUGAAUUCUACGUAAUGAUUGCACUUUUUUAUAGUGUGAGGAAUUAUGGCUUGGGAAAGUACACAUACCUCGGAUAUCAAAAGUUCCAGGAAUAUCAAAAUUGGCUUCUUACUCUCUGUCCAUUAUGGAUGGCAAACGAGUGAGUAACUAGUAAUCUUCUCUCGCUUACAAACUACAUACUCAGGGUAUGUUGGUAUGCAGUAGUGGAUAGUACAAUGAACAAUAUUUUCCCUCUGUCUUUUUUAUUUAACACUGUCGGAUUACUAUCCAACAUGCUAUCAAAAUUAUGAAAGUGUACACCAUGUUUCAGUGACUUUGAUUGAUGAUCUUCAGAUCUCUGCCUAAUGCACCUCAAACUCCCAAUCUUUCUGAUUUCAGGCAAGAAUAACGUGCAAUGAUCUCUGUGAUCAUGUGUGGGAAUUUCAUUUCACUGAGGUAUAUACUUCAUUCUUAUUGGUGUAGCCAAUCCUUGCAUGUUUCUGAUGAAGCUCUAGAAAAUUUACUUUGAAAUUUUUAGGUUCAGCUAAACAUGCUCAUAGUCAUGUACGGUUGCUCUAAAAGAUGUGUUAGGUGCAGGCACUUUCCUCAGUUGCCAUCUCUAGAAAACCAUCAAGUCCCCUAAUUUUUGUUUCUCAUUUACCUUCGUUUAGCCGCUUUAGUUCUUUCCUAUUUUAUGUUCUAUUUCAAUUUUGCUUCCGCAAUUUGUUUUCAUGUUUCAACCUACACAAACUGUUAAAUUUUCUCAAAUGUCAGAAGUGUUGAAGACUGAAUCUCAUAUGCGUGACAACUCUUUCAUUAACCCAGUCUUUCGUUUCUGCAUUCCCAACUUCUUUGUUUGCUGCAAAUGCAGCCCAAGUUCAUAUUGUCUCUUAGAUUAGGCAACCAAGAUUAUUUGGAUAAUUAAAUUCGAACUAUCUCAAGAAACACUUAAAUUAGUGUUCCAUUUUUAAUUACCUUUACGGGAAACUCCCCUAAGAAAGUAUUUACUUGAUGUUCAUUCUUUUAUGCAGCUCCGAGCUGCCAUAGUUCUUCUAUAUUUAUAUUUCAGCUGAUUCUAUAGAAAUAUGGCUUUGCUAUUUGUUUUCAUAAAAUGUAAAGAUCCCAAGUUGUUUGAUUAGCUGUCAUAUACUUCCACAGUCCUUGAAAGUAAAACUCCCAACUCGAGCCAGAGCUUACAAAUUUAUCAUGUGCCAUGUCUUUUUAGUUUUUAUUUUUCUUCUCUUUGGGUACAUAUCUUUUAGGUUCUCCCUUACCCCGUCUUCGCAGGUAGUAGAUACAGCAGCUAAAACUUUACUGUUCCAGUUUCUACCAAAUUAUUCAUACAAUUCCAAAUUAUGAAGAAAAAGUUCCAUUAGUAUUUUCAUUUAUUAUUUACCUUUCUUUUGACAUUUAAUCCUUUUCUGAUGGGCUAUGUAGUUAGUUGCUCAAGAAGCUAUUACUUCAUGGACUAAUUAAUGCUGCUGUAUAAACUUUUUUCGAACCUAGAUUAUAUUUCAAUUUGUCAGGAUGAAUGACCACAAAUUUAUUAAGGAUAAGACUUUAGUUAUCGUUCUAUAUUAUGCUCAUUGUCCUCAAGACAAUGUAGACAAAAUCAAAGCAUGGGCCCCAAAAAAUGAUUAAUUUGAUGAUCUUACCCGGAUAUUCUGAUGAUCUCCUCUUUCUGUAGGAUGCUCCUGAAUAUUGGCGAAAUCUUGAUCCUUACUGGACAGGCACAGGAAGUACAUUGCGCCGGUAUUUCCAUCCAGAUGGAAGCAUAUCUGCAGAUCCUGGUGAUCUGGUAUGGGGCGGCCACGAGUCAUGCUACACUACAGUUACCGGAUUGCUGGAAGAUGGAGAAAUACGAGAACAUUAUGUGAGAAUCAAUCGUUGGCCUCAAUUACAUGUUUUGAGGAAGCCCGAUUGGGGUUGGGAAUUAUCAAACCAUCUCUACUGCUACACUAGUGUCCCUGAUGCCGAAAAGGAAGAUGGAACGGGUCCUCUGUUUCCAGUUUUUUAGUCUAGUUUUGAGGGUGUUUUAUGUUUGAUUAAUGUUAUAGACUCUGUUCUGGCAAGGAGAUUUUGUUUUAUGUAUGUAUGCAUGUAUAUAUUGGUAAACAUGUCGUGUUUAUUUCAAUGAAAAAAUUUCAUAUGAAUCUAAAUGGGCAUGGCUGUCUUGGGAAAAAAACACGGGGGAUUUGUGUAUCUAUAUUGGAUUAAACUACUUGUACAUGACACCCCCUAUGUGUAAAAAAUUUGGCAGUUGAUUGGAAAAAGUGUCGUGAAGAUAAACGUACUCACAUGGAUGUAAAUCACCGUGUCAAUCUUUAUGUACUUAUAGCAUUGUCCAUUUAUAUUUUCUAUUAACAUUACAACUUUAAAAAACAAAUAUGCUAUAGUGCUAGGAAGGUUGACACAAUGUCACGUGAUAUAUUAUAUUAUUGAACAUUUUAUAAUAAAAUCAACUUUUCCAUCCAAUCAUCUACCAUCAUUUAUCUUUGCAUUUGUCAAUAUCUUUCAAACAAAGUGGCAUGAUCUUUUUAAAAACAUUUAAAUAUAAGAAGAUAGAAAGACUUGGCCUAUGAGAGUAACAAAAAAAAUUAUUGUGGUCUUUCCUCUUUGAAAUGAAGAAAGAGUAAUUCUAUUUCACUUCCCUGAAAUUACAACGUCAAGUUUUAAUUUGAUAUUAAUUGAUUGAUAGAAUUAAAAAACUCGUUUAAUUUCAAAUUUCAUUUGACAUAUUAUGAGAGUGUUUGAUGGGUAUUUUUAUGAAAAAAUGCAUUUUAAAAUAAUAAAUUGAUAUGAAAUGUGUAGUUGAGAAAUGAGGAAAUUUUUUUUUUAUAUGUAAUAUUAUUUUAAUAAAGAAUGUGUAAUUAAAAAAAAGUGAAAAAAAUACAUUUUAAAAAAAAUAGCUACCAAAGGGCACCUAUAUAGUGCCAUUUAGACUAGGAUGCAAUCCCUAGGGAACACUUUACCUUCUUCCGGACUCCCAACGCCCCACCCUAACCCAACAAAACACACCCACCACUGAAAAUCGCCGCCCCUAUUCACCCACCUGCCAUCCGGAAAUGGCUCGUUAUCACUGUACACGAAUCCACCUACUCCCCCAUCCUCCUUUCUCUCCCUCAAUCACUCAGCCCUCAGGCAGUUUAUCUAUAAAACUCACCGGGUCACCUCCGAGUUUUCUUGAAUAUUUGACUCAGCUCUUCCAAUGGAGGUCGAAACUCGCGCUCCUGCAGCCUUUGAUACUUCUCAUUUUUCUUCUACUCCCAUAAACCACUCGGAGAUUUGCGACGUUGAGCUUCAAUGCCGUAGAUGCCCGGCUACUCGAAUGAAGCUCUGGAACAGCACGAAGUUGAAUCACCAGCCUCCAAUCUUAAUAAUUAUUGGAAUGAAUACGCAAAAUUGAAAGUCAAUAAUUAUUGGAAUAAAUAAGUUUUCAUAUAAUAUUAAGGAGAAACAGAUUGAAUGAUUGGUCGAAAAUGAAAAGAACUCUUUCUUUUAUCAGGCCCAUUGUGAUGCUAGAAAGAGGGUUUGAAUUUUGGUAUUUUUCUUACAUUUCAAAUUGU
rnacentral:lncRNA from 1 species